AAUCAAAAAAUGGAAUAACAUGGCAACAAUUACACUGAUGAGCAAGAGGGAAGCUACAGAUGAAUUCAGACACCUAUGGCACUGCAGACUCAACACAUUCAGCAUUUUGUGUUUAGUGUCUUGUGUUUCUGAGAGCAGGAGAAACGACAGACAGAUUCACUUUAACAACAUCCGGCCCCUUGAAGACAACCUGUAAUUCCACUCAUGACAGCUGGAGAGUCCCCUCUUAACUCACCUUCAAGAGGCAGGCCCCCGUCCCUGCAAAGCCACAGUUACAGGAGGUUGGGAGUGAAUACAUCAGAGUGUACUAUGCAGAAGACAAUUGAAAUGGAGUCUCUUGAGUUUUCAAACACUCACAUCCUUUAUUUCAUGUAAGCAUGGG